GAUGAACACUGGCGGCGUGCUUAACACAUGCAAGUCGAACGAGAAAUGUAGACGGAAACCUUCGGGCGGAAGCCUUCAUUUCGAGUGGCGGACGGGUGAGUAACGCGUGGGUAACCUGCCUCAUACAGGGGGAUAACAGUUGGAAACGACUGUUAAUACCGCAUAAGACCACAGCAUCGCAUGAUGCGGGGGUAAAAACUCCGGUGGUAUGAGAUGGACCCGCGUUCGAUUAGCCAGUUGGCGGGGUAACGGCCCACCAAAGCGACGAUCGAUAGCCGAUCUGAGAGGAUGACCGGCCACAUUGGGACUGAGACACGGCCCAAACUCCUACGGGAGGCAGCAGUGGGGAAUAUUGCACAAUGGGGGAAACCCUGAUGCAGCGACGCCGCGUGAGUGAAGAAGUACUUCGGUAUGUAAAGCUCUAUCAGCAGGGAAGAAAAUGACGGUACCUGAGUAAGAAGCCCCGGCUAACUACGU
rnacentral:rRNA from 1 species